CGAAGGAUCCAAGCGUUAUCCGGAUUUAUUGGGUUUAAAGGGUGCGUAGGCGGUUCCAUAAGUCAGUGGUGAAAUACGGCAGCUCAACUGUCGAGGUGCCAUUGAUACUGCGGAACUUGAGUACUGAUGAGGUAGGCGGAAUUGACGGUGUAGCGGUGAAAUGCUUAGAUAUCGUCAAGAACACCGAUAGCGAAGGCAGCUUACCAAGCAGUAACUGACGCUGAGGCACGAAAGUGCGGGGAUCAAACAGGAUUAGAUACCCUGGUAGUCCGCACAGUAAACGAUGAUUACUCGAUGUUGGCGAUACACAGCCAGCGUCUUAGCGAAAGCGAUAAGUAAUCCACCUGGGGAGUACGCCCGCAAGGGUG
rnacentral:rRNA from 1 species